rnacentral:tRNA from 1 species
GGAACUGUAGUUUAAUUGGACAGAGCGCGAGUGUCCGAAGCUCGAUGUGCGGGUUCAAAUCCCGCCAGUCCCA